AGCCUGAUGCAGCCAUGCCGCGUGUGUGAAGAAGGCCUUAGGGUUGUAAAGCACUUUCAGUCAGGAGGAAAGGUUAGUAGUUAAUACCUGCUAGCUGUGACGUUACUGACAGAAGAAGCACCGGCUAACUCCGUGCCAGCAGCCGCGGUAAUACGGAGGGUGCGAGCGUUAAUCGGAAUUACUGGGCGUAAAGCGUACGCAGGCGGUUUGUUAAGCGAGAUGUGAAAGCCCCGGGCUUAACCUGGGAACUGCAUUUCGAACUGGCAAACUAGAGUGUGAUAGAGGGUGGUAGAAUUUCAGGUGUAGCGGUGAAAUGCGUAGAGAUCUGAAGGAAUACCGAUGGCGAAGGCAGCCACCUGGGUCAACACUGACGCUCAUGUACGAAAGCGUGGGGAGCAAACAGGAUUAGAUACCCUGGUAGUCCACGCCGUAAACGAUGUCUACUAGGAGCUGGGGUCUUCGGACAACUUUUCCAAAGCUAACGCAUUAAGUAGACCGCCUGG
rnacentral:rRNA from 3 species